rnacentral:rRNA from 1 species
UACGUAGGGUGCGAGCGUUAAUUGGAAUUACUGGGCGUAAAGCGUGCGCAGGCGGCUUUAUAAGACAGAUGUGAAAUCCCCGGGCUUAACCUGGGAACUGCAUUUGUGACUGUAAGGCUAGAGUGCGGCAGAGGGGGGUAGAAUUCCACGUGUAGCAGUGAAAUGCGUAGAUAUGUGGAGGAAUACCGAUGGCGAAGGCAGCCCCCCUGGGUCGACACUGACGCUCAUGCACGAAAGCGUGGGGAGCAAACAGG